GACGAACGCUGGCGGCGUGCCUAAUACAUGCAAGUAGAACGCUGAAGGAGGAGCUUGCUUCUCUGGAUGAGUUGCGAACGGGUGAGUAACGCGUAGGUAACCUGCCUGGUAGCGGGGGAUAACUAUUGGAAACGAUAGCUAAUACCGCAUAAGAGUAGAUGUUGCAUGACAUUUGCUUAAAAGGUGCAAUUGCAUCACUACCAGAUGGACCUGCGUUGUAUUAGCUAGUUGGUGAGGUAACGGCUCACCAAGGCAACGAUACAUAGCCGACCUGAGAGGGGGAUCGGCCACACUGGGACUGAGACACGGCCCAGACUCCUACGGGAGGCAGCAGUAGGGAAUCUGCGGCAAUGGACGGAAGUCUGACCGAGCAACGCCGCGUGAGUGAAGAAGGUUUUCGGAUCGUAAAGCUCUGUUGUAAGAGAAGAACGAGUGUGAGAGUGGAAAGUUCACACUGUGACGGUAUCUUACCAGAAAGGGACGGCUAACUACGUG
rnacentral:rRNA from 1 species